UGCAAGUCGAGCGGACCAACGAGGAGCUUGCUCCUCAGAGGUCAGCGGCGGACGGGUGAGUAACACGUGGGCAACCUGCCUGUAAGACUGGGAUAACUCCGGGAAACCGGGGCUAAUACCGGAUAACAUUCUCCUCUGCAUAGAGGAGGAUUAAAAGAUGGCUUCGGCUAUCACUUACAGAUGGGCCCGCGGCGCAUUAGCUAGUUGGUGAGGUAAGGGCUCACCAAGGCGACGAUGCGUAGCCGACCUGAGAGGGUGAUCGGCCACACUGGGACUGAGACACGGCCCAGACUCCUACGGGAGGCAGCAGUAGGGAAUCUUCGGCAAUGGACGAAAGUCUGACCGAGCAACGCCGCGUGAGUGAGGAAGGCCUUCGGGUCGUAAAGCUCUGUUGUUAGGGAAGAACAAGUACCGUUCGAACAGGGCGGUACCUUGACGGUACCUAACCAGAAAGCCACGGCUAACUACGUGCCAGCAGCCGCGGUAAUACGUAGGUGGCAAGCGUUGUCCGGAAUUAUUGGGCGUAAAGCGCGCGCAGGCGGUCUCUUAAGUCUGAUGUGAAAGCCCACGGCUCAACCGUGGAGGGUCAUUGGAAACUGGGGGACUUGAGUACUGGAGAGGAGAGUGGAAUUCCAUGUGUAGCGGUGAAAUGCGUAGAUAUAUGGAGGAACACCAGUGGCGAAGGCGGCUCUCUGGCC
rnacentral:rRNA from 1 species